rnacentral:rRNA from 1 species
GAAUAUUGGACAAUGGGGGCAACCCUGAUCCAGCCAUGCCGCGUGUGUGAAGAAGGCCUUCGGGUUGUAAAGCACUUUAAGCAGGGAGGAAGGCAUUGUGGUUAAUAACCAUGAUGAUUGACGUUACCUGCAGAAUAAGCACCGGCUAACUCCGUGCCAGCAGCCGCGGUAAUACGGAGGGUGCAAGCGUUAAUCGGAAUUACUGGGCGUAAAGCGCGCGUAGGCGGCUGAUUAAGUCGGAUGUGAAAGCCCCGGGCUCAACCUGGGAACUGCAUACGAUACUGAUCGGCUAGAGUAUGAGAGAGGGAGGUAGAAUUCCACGUGUAGCGGUGAAAUGCGUAGAUAUGUGGAGGAAUACCGGUGGCGAAGGCGGCCUCCUGGCUUAAUACUGACGCUGAGGUGCGAAAGCGUGGGGAGCAAACAGG